GGAAUUGACGGGGAGCACCACAACGGGUGGAGCUUGCGGUUUAAUUGGAUUCAACGCCGGAAAUCUUACCGGGACCGACAGCAAUAUGAAGGCCAGGCUGAAGACUUUGCCGGAUUAGCUGAGAGGUGGUGCAUGGCCGUCGUCAGUUCGUACUGUGAAGCAUCCUGUUAAGUCAGGCAACGAGCGAGACCCACGCCCACAGUUGCCAGCGUACUCUCUGGAGUGACGGGUACACUGUGGGACCGCCGCUGCUAAAGCGGAGGAAGGAAUGGGCAACGGUAGGUCAGUAUGCCCCGAAUAUCCCGGGCUACACGCGAGCUACAAUGGUUGGUACAAUGGGUAUCUACCCCGAAAGGGGACGGGAAUCUCCUAAAACCAAUCUUAGUUCGGAUUGAGGGCUGCAACUCGCCCUCAUGAAGCUGGAAUCCGUAGUAAUCGCGUUUCAACAGAACGCGGUGAAUACGUCCCUGCUCCUU
rnacentral:rRNA from 1 species